rnacentral:rRNA from 1 species
CAAUAGCGUAUAUUAAAGUUGUUGCGGUUAAAAAGCUCGUAGUUGGAUUUCUGCUGAGGACGACCGGUCCGCCCUCCGGGUGAGCAUCUGGUUCGGCCUUGGCAUCUUCUUGGUGAACGUAUCUGCACUUGACUGUGUGGUGCGGUACCCAGGACUUUUACUUUGAGGAAAUUAGAGUGUUUCAAGCAGGCAUACGCCUUGAAUACAUUAGCAUGGAAUAAUAAGAUAGGACCUCGGUUCUAUUUUGUUGGUUCUAGAGCUGAGGUAAUGAUUAAUAGGGAUAGUUGGGGGUGCUUAGUAUUGGCCGGUCCAAGAGGUGAAAUUCUUGGGAUUCGGUCAAAUGUAGCUUAACUUUAAUGACGGAAA